rnacentral:rRNA from 1 species
GUGUCAGCCGCCGCGGUAAUACGGAGGAUCCAAGCGUUAUCCGGAUUCAUUGGGUUUAAAGGGUGCGUAGGCGGAAUGAUAAGUCAGUGGUGAAAGCCUGCAGCUUAACUGCAGAACUGCCAUUGAUACUGUCAAUCUUGAGUACAUUUGAUGUGGGCGGAAUGUGUCAUGUAGCGGUGAAAUGCUUAGAUAUGACACAGAACACCGAUUGCGAAGGCAGCUCACAAAACUGUAACUGACGCUGAGGCACGAAAGCGUGGGUAUCAAACAGGAUUAGAUACCCUGGUAGUCC